UUGAACGCUGGCGGCAUGCCUACACAUGCAAGUCGGACGGCAGCAGCGGAGAGCUGCUCUAUGGUGGCGAGUGGCGGAACGGGUGAGUAAUACAUCGGAAGUGCUACCCUGGACGUGGGGGAUAGCCGUAGGGAAAGCUACGGCUAAUACCGCAUACGUCCUAUGGGAGGAAAGCGGGGGAUCUCAGACCUCGCGCAGGUUGGACGACCGAUGUGCAGAUUAGCUAGUUGGUAGGGUAAAGGCCUACCAAGGCGACGAUCGCUAGCUGGUCUGAGAGGAUGACCAGCCACACUGGGACUGAGACACGGUCCAGACUCCUACGGGAGGCAGCAGUGGGGAAUUUUGGACAAUGGGCGCAAGCCUGAUCCAGCAAUGCCGCGUGUGUGAAGAAGGCCUUCGGGUUGUAAGGCACUUUUAUCAGGAGCGAAAUGCCAUUGGUUAAUACCCGGUGGAGCUGACGGUACCUGAGGAAUAAGCACCGGCUAACUUCGUGCCAGCAGCCGCGGUAAUACGAAGGGUGCAAGCGUUAAUCGGAAUUACUGGGCGUAAAGCGUGCGUAGGCGGUGACUUAAGUCUGUUGUGAAAUCCCCGGGCUCAACCUGGGAAUGGCAAUGGAUACUGGGUCGCUAGAGUGUGAUAGAGGAUGGUGGAAUUCCCGGUGUAGCGGUGAAAUGCGUAGAGAUCGGGAGGAACAUCAGUGGCGAAGGCGGCCAUCUGGAUCAACACUGACGCUGAGGCACGAAAGCGUGGGGAGCAAACAGGAUUAGAUACCCUGGUAGUCCACGCCCUAAACGAUGCGAACUGGAUGUUGGUCUCAACUCGGAGAUCAGUGUCGAAGCUAACGCGUUAAGUUCGCCGCCUGGGGAGUACGGUCGCAAGACUGAAACUCAAAGGAAUUGACGGGGGCCCGCACAAGCGGUGGAGUAUGUGGUUUAAUUCGAUGCAACGCGAAGAACCUUACCUGGCCUUGACAUGUCUGGAAUCCUGCAGAGAUGCGGGAGUGCCUUCGGGAAUCAGAACACAGGUGCUGCAUGGCUGUCGUCAGCUCGUGUCGUGAGAUGUUGGGUUAAGUCCCGCAACGAGCGCAACCCUUGUCCUUAGUUGCCAGCACGUAAUGGUGGGAACUCUAAGGAGACUGCCGGUGACAAACCGGAGGAAGGUGGGGAUGACGUCAAGUCAUCAUGGCCCUUACGGCCAGGGCUACACACGUACUACAAUGGUCGGUACAGAGGGUUGCAAUACCGCGAGGUGGAGCCAAUCCCAGAAAGCCGAUCCCAGUCCGGAUCGAAGUCUGCAACUCGACUUCGUGAAGUCGGAAUCGCUAGUAAUCGCAGAUCAGCUAUGCUGCGGUGAAUACGUUCCCGGGCCUUGUACACACCGCCCGUCACACCAUUGGGGAGUGAGUUGCUCCAGAAGCCGUUAGUCUAACCGCAAGGGGGACGACGACCACGGAGUGGUUCAUGACUGGGGUG
rnacentral:rRNA from 1 species